rnacentral:rRNA from 1 species
AAGCGUGCGCAGGCGGUUUUGUAAGACUGUCGUGAAAUCCCCGGGCUCAACCUGGGAAUGGCGAUGGUGACUGCAAGGCUAGAGUUUGGCAGAGGGGGGUAGAAUUCCACGUGUAGCAGUGAAAUGCGUAGAUAUGUGGAGGAACACCGAUGGCGAAGGCAGCCCCCUGGGGUCAAAACUGACGCUCAUGCACGAAAGCGUGGGGAGCAAACAGGAUUAGAUACCCCAGU